rnacentral:misc_RNA from 1 species
UACGGAGGGUGCAAGCAUUAAUCGGAUUUACUGGGCGUAAAGGGUGCGUAGGCGGUUUGGUAAGUUAGGUGUGAAAUUCCGAGGCUCAACUUCGGAGCUGCACUUAAAACUACUUAACUUGAGGAUAGGUGGGGAAAAUGGAAUUCCACGUGUAGCGGUGAAAUGCGUAGAUAUGUGGAAGAACACCGGUGGCGUAGGCGAUUUUCUAACCUACACCUGACGCUGAGGCACGAAAGCAAGGGGAGCAAACAGG